AAAAAUAGACAAUGUAUGACGUCAGAGAAGAUGGGUCAACUGCCUGACGUCACCAUCAUAUACAUAUUUAAUCAUCUCACUUGUCAGAAUUCUCUACCCUUGUAUUGAAACUCUUCAGAGCGGCACCACUAUCUUAAGUACAGGAAGUCUUCACCGAUUUUUGGACCAAGUCUUCUACCGAGCGCUUGAAAAUGUUAAGGACGCCAUACCUGUUCUUCAUAUUUAUGGUAUCGCCAUAGCAACAGUCUCAAAGUCAAAACACACCAUUUCAGUCUUUCUAUUCCCACAAAGGUCACGUGCUUUUGGGUCACGUGAUCGCUUCCUUAARCAUGGCGGGAAUUGAUAAUUGCUUCAUGAUCUGUAAGACAAGCAGUGGUUGUAAGAGUUGGAACUACCAUUUUGAUAGUUUUUUGUGUCAACUGAAUGACAUAACUCACUGCUCAGAACCCAGAAGUUUGGUGGCACGUUUCAAUGAGUGCUAAAUACCAGCCAACCUCAGCACCCAGUAAUAUUAAUUCGGUUGCACCAUAACAAGUACACCUGCCACAGAGAUAAAGGAACCUAGAUUCGGACAGAUUUAGCUGAGAGCGGAUCGAACCUUCUAAACUAAACAAGAUGACAUCUAGAAAGCUGUACCAUGUUUAGAUGCUGAAAUUAAGUCUGGCAUUUCGACGCCCUUAACACACUCACCCAAUCACCCUAGAUUUCGAAUCUCCCCAAGAGAAACGCCAUGUAAGAGUAAYUUGAAAGACCUUAUUUUCUGUAGUUAUCAGUUCUUUAUCAAAUCUUUUUAGACUUCAGAGACGCGCCUGCAAACAGUGCAGGUAGGACUCAGUUCACUGACAGUGGCUUUGCAUCUUUUCGUUUGCCUGGAAAGAUUGUAAA